UACGGAGGGGGCUAGCGUUGUCCGAAGUUACUGGGCGUAAAGCGCGCGUAGGCGGGUUGGUAAGUCCGCUGUGAAAGCCCGGAGCUCAACUCCGGAGGGUCGGUGGAUACUGCCAGUCUUGAAGGUGCUAGGGGGAGAUGGAAUUACCGGUGUAGCGGUGAAAUGCGUAGAUAUCGGUAGGAACACCAGUGGCGAAGGCGGUCUCCUGGGGCAUUCUUGACGCUGAGGCGCGAAAGCUGGGGGAGCGAA
rnacentral:rRNA from 1 species